rnacentral:lncRNA from 1 species
ACAAUUGAGUGAAAUAUGGGAAGAAACCUUCUCCUCACACCUACCCUUUCUUCAUUCUCUUCUGCUCUGCAGGGGCUUCCACCGGCACCCUUAGAUUUUCCUUUUUCAUUCCUUAGAUGGAGGCAGCGUUAAUUUAGGAUGCAAAGCAUCUGCAGAGGAAAAGAUUUAUGCCUCCACUGCUCACACAUGAUGGUCCUGAUCCAGAGAGGAACCUCUCAUGCUUGCUUCUAAGUUAAAAAUCAAGGGAGACUCAGUUGCUCAGAGAAUCUUUUGGGGCUAAUCCAAUUGUUAAUCCCAGAUGAGUCAGACCCAUGUAAAUCCCACUGAUUCCGUGGCUGAACUCAAGUAACAAGUUACAACUAGAGUAGACCUAUUGAAUCAGUGGAAUUUACAGAGGAGCUGGCUCAGCAAUUUCCCACUGAUUCAGUGAGCCUACUCUAUUUGUGAUUUUUCCUGGAUUUCAGCUAUUGCAUCUAUGCUGGCUUCAGCAAGCAAUGGGAUUUAGCCCUUAAAAUGUAGUUUAAUUGGUAGAGCACAUGCUUUGUAUCUUUAAUCUCUGAUAUCAAAGGAACACUCAUGAAAUCAUGGAGUGAGCCAUUGCCUACCAGUGUGAGCAAUACUGAGCUGGAUUGGGAAAUGGUCUGCCUCUGUCUGUCCCAAAUGGACCCACCAGCCAGUUUCCAAUUAAGAACACAUAAAACAAUGAAGCACAGGAGAAACCUCAACAGCAGCUCAACAGAACGAAAUGGAGCAGUAAACGAUGAAGCCAUGAAGAGCCAGACUAGAAUCCACCUGAAGGAAUGCUGUGGUCAGGCUCUACCCUUCCCACGAUGAUGUCGUAUAGAGUGUCAAAGCUUCCAUGGCUCUGGUUGAAGGUCUUCGCUUUCAUCACACAUGGAUGGUGAGUGCCUGGACACUCAGUUUCCUUCAGUAGCCCUUUUUUCUUCCAUUGAAACUGGAAAAGUGAAAUAAAGAGAAUGAUCAUCUUUCUGCUCA